rnacentral:rRNA from 1 species
GACGAACGCUGGCGGCGUGCUUAACACAUGCAAGUCGAACGGAAAGGCCCUGCUUGCAGGGUGCUCGAGUGGCGAACGGGUGAGUAACACGUGGGUGAUCUGCCCCUUACUUUGGGAUAAGCCUGGGAAACUGGGUCUAAUACUGGAUAGGACCAUGCUGUAGGUGGUGUGGUGGAAAGAUUAGUUUCGGUAAGGGAUGAGCUCGCGGCCUAUCAGCUUGUUGGUGGGGUAAUGACCUACCAAGGCGUCGACGGGUAGCCGGCCUGAGAGGGUGGACGGCCACAUUGGGACUGAGAUACGGCCCAGACUCCUACGGGAGGCAGCAGUGGGGAAUAUUGCACAAUGGGCGCAAGCCUGAUGCAGCGACGCCGCGUGGGGGAUGACGGCCUUCGGGUUGUAAACUCCUUUCAGCCAUGACGAAGCCCUUGUGGUGACGGUAGUGGUAGAAGAAGCACCGGCUAACUACGUG